rnacentral:rRNA from 1 species
AUUGAACGCAGGCGGCAGGCCCAACACAUGCAAGUCAAACGAGUGGCUGACGGGCGAGUAAUGUCUGGGAAACUGCCUGAUGGAGGGGGAUAACUACUGGAAACGGUAGCUAAUACCGCAUAUCAUCGGAUGUGCCCAGAUGGGCUUAGCUAGUAGGUGGGGGAAGGCCUGACCUAGGCGACGAUCCCUAGCUGGUCUGGGAGGAUGACCAGCCACACUGGAUCUGAGACCCGGCCCAGACUCCUAGGGGAGGCUGGAGUGGGGAAUAAUGCACAAGAAGCGCAAGCCAGAUGAAGCCAUGCCGCGUGUAUGAAGAAGGCCUUCGGGAUGUAAAGUACUUUCGGCGGGGAGGCGGUACCCGAAGCAGAAGCUCCGGCGAACUCCGUGCCAGCAGCCGCGGUAAUAC